rnacentral:rRNA from 1 species
GGGGUAGAAUUCCAGGUGUAGCGGUGAAAUGCGUAGAGAUCUGGAGGAAUACCGGUGGCGAAGGCGGCCCCCUGGACGAAGACUGACGCUCAGGUGCGAAAGCGUGGGGAGCAAACAGGAUUAGAUACCCUGGUAGUCCACGCCGUAAACGAUGUCGACUUGGAGGUUGUGCCCUUGAGGCGUGGCUUCCGGAGCUAACGCGUUAAGUCGACCGCCUGGGGAGUACGGCCGCAAGGUUAAAACUCAAAUGAAUUGACGGGGGCCCGCACAAGCGGUGGAGCAUGUGGUUUAAUUCGAUGCAACGCGAAGAACCUUACCUGGUCUUGACAUCCACAGAACUUUCCAGAGAUGGAUUGGUGCCUUCGGGAACUGUGAGACAGGUGCUGCAUGGCUGUCGUCAGCUCGUGUUGUGAAAUGUUGGGUUAAGUCCCGCAACGAGCGCAACCCUUAUCCUUUGUUGCCAGCGGUCCGGCCGGGAACUCAAAGGAGACUGCCAGUGAUAAACUGGAGGAAGGUGGGGAUGACGUCA